UAGAGAAAGAGAGAAAGAGUUUUGGGGUUUUGAGAUCAAAUGAGAGAGAAAAGAGAAGAGCUUUGCUUGGUUUGGUGCUUGCUUUGGUGUGUGAGAGAAAGAGAUCAUAGCGUUGUUGUUGCUAUGUUGGUCGUCUUUGUCCAGAUUUUGUUCUUGUUAAGAGGUGAGUGUAUGACAAUAGCUUAUCUAAGCGUUAAAAUUACUUAAUUUGUUAUUUCUAUGAUAUAUGUGGAUUGAUUCCUUUGUUUAUGUGUUUUUGUUGGUUGGCCUUGUAUGGUUGCUUGUGUUUGUUUGUUCGUUGGGAGAACGAAGUGGUGAAGGAUCUGUCGUCAAGGAUCACUCGGUAUAUCGUUAAACGGUUUGGUGUCGACUGACAUCAAGGGUGGGUGUCAAUUAACACCAGCCCGUGUUCAUGGUGGAGUUUGUGUCGGUGUCAUUUGACAUCAUGGGAGGAUGUUGGUAGAAACCAGCACGAUAUCAAGGAAGUUUGGGAGGUGGGAUCGAACAACAGAAAUGGUGGGUGUCAAUCGACACCAACAACUUGUAGACGUGCUAUGUGUUCUCAUUGCUCUGGUUUGAUUGAUUAUUUUGAUUUAUUAAUGACAAAGAAAGCGAUGUGACCAUGAGAUCAUAGUAAGGAAGAGGGGAUCAUCUAGGGUCUUAGUUUCGUGUUGUUGGUUAUUUGUUUUGGAUAUUUUAGAUUACUGAUAGUUUUACAUCUUCUUUAAUUGCUUAUUUGUUAAUUUAUUAAUGAUCAUUUGAGUUGGAUUUUCGGUGGUUAGUUUAUUUAUUUCUGACAUGAUUUUUGAUUGGAGAAAUUAGUUAAUAAGUAUGGGGUAUUAAAAAAUGGUGGCGGUUGUUUCAUAGUAACAUAUUUAUCUAAAUUAUAAAUAAGUUAGUUAUUUAGUAAAAAGAUAAAUAUUAACGGUAUUUUAAAUGUCGCACAGGACCAUUUCAAAUGAUAGUAUUUCAAAUUUUCCAGCAUAAAAGAAAUAAAAUAAAUUAAACUAAAGUUAAACAUUUUAUCAAUAAUUUUUUAAUAAAAAUAAAGAAAUAUAUUUAAUAUAUUUAAUUAAGAUAUUUUAUCUGCUGGUUUGAUUGGAGAAAAUAACUAUGUUCUUUUUCAUCUUAUUCCUUAUUUUUCUAUAAAUAAGUGAGUAGAGAACAUAUAACUCUACAUAUAAGAACGUUUUUGCCUCCACUAAUAUAUCUUUACAGAAUAUAUAUAGCAAAUCUAAGAAACCAUAGCUUGAGUUCUACAGAAGAGGUUAUAUCACAAGACCAAGGGAAAUGAACUGGUCGAAGUCCAUGUGAGAAGUAGUAAGGCAAAAAAUAUGAGUCAACACAGUACAAAAAAAACAUAUUCGACCUUACGAAGCCAUUUUGCCCCACAAAGAGGUUAAUAUUUGUCAAUAACAAUUUAUUUGGUUAAACAGGAAUUUGAGAUUGGUAUUAAUAAGUUUUUUCUUUUUAUUUGAGUGGAUAAAUACUGAAAGAUCUGAGCUUUUUUGGAUAUGGAAGCAAGCGUUUCGGUCAUGUUUCUUGGCUUGGGUAUGUGGUAUCACUACAAGGUAACAUCCUCACAACUAUCUCUGCACCUUGGCAAGAUCGAGUGGAGAGUUUUAUAGCUCGCUAUGUGUUUCAAGCUACACUUUAUUCAAUUUGGCGGGAGCGGAAUGGUAGGAGUCAUGGAGAACACGCCAAUGUCGCUGCUCAGCUGAUCAAGUGCAUUGACAGGCAAAUGCGAGACCGGCUUUUAGCUUUGCAAAAAAGUGGUGAUCGGCGUUAUGACGAGGAUCUGCAACUUUGGCUCGCUUCACGUUUCUAAGCUUCCUAGCUUUUAGACUAUAAUACUCUGUUUUUUUCAAACCCCAGUUUAAUGUACAUGUUGCACUAGUUGUACAAACGCUAUUUUUCUGUUGAAUCAAAUUUAACAUUUUAUUCAAAAAAAAAAAAGAAGAAGCAGUUUAUGAGAUGAUGAAGCAACAAGCUUUGGAGUUAGCAAGACAAACUUUUAAGCCAGAGUUCAUGAAGAGGAUUGAUGAAUACAUUGUUUUCCAGCCGUUGGAUUUAACAGAAUUAACAAAGAUCCUCGAGUUUCAGAUGAGACGAGUGAAAAAUUUGUUGGAACAAAAGAAAAUAAAACUUGAGUACACAAAAGAAGCGGUGGAUCUUCUUGCUCAGCUUGGGUUUGCCAAACAAUGGGGCAAGGCCGGUGAAGAGAGUGAUUCAGGAGAUAGUGAAGGAGAUAUCCUCAAAAAAUUUGAAGGGAGAGUUCACAGAGGAAGACACUAUUCUUCUAGAUGUUGACAAGCCAAACAACAAAUUGGUCAUCAAGAAGCUCGAGAGUAGUGCUCCUGUUGAAGAAUUGGCCGCCGCAUGAUCAUAAAAGAGGAUUAGUUAAAUCGAUUAUAUCUCUUUUUCUAAUGAUGAUCAUGUCUUAAUUAAGGAUUAGUUAUAUUUGCCGACAAAAGAAAAUGGGAACAUUUUUAAUCAAAUGUUUGAGCUGUGACUAAUGAGAUAAUUUGUGGGUUAAGUUGUAACAAUUAUUUGGGGUUCACAAGUGUAUUAAUCAAUG